AGGAAACAAAAUCAACACAACUCUCUAUUGGUCAUCGUCAUUCGAUUUGUUGUUAAACAAAUUAAUAAUUCCAAAUGGCAAGUUUACAAAUCCAUUGUCCGUCGAUUUUUGAAUGGUAAACAUUGAUAUCUAAAUCACAAAUUUUGUUAAUAAUCAAUUUAUAUAUGCAUAUCAAAGUACUUAAAAUGUUGGAACAAUAAUGGUACAAAAAAAAACUUGACAACAAGCCGCAACAAAAAAAAAUUGAUUCAACCAAGAAAAAAAUAGUU